rnacentral:rRNA from 1 species
GAUGAACGCUGGCGGCGUGCCUAAUACAUGCAAGUCGAGCGAACAGACGAGGAGCUUGCUCCUCUGACGUUAGCGGCGGACGGGUGAGUAACACGUGGAUAACCUACCUAUAAGACUGGGAUAACUUCGGGAAACCGGAGCUAAUACCGGAUAAUAUAUUGAACCGCAUGGUUCAAUAGUGAAAGACGGUUUUGCUGUCACUUAUAGAUGGAUCCGCGCCGCAUUAGCUAGUUGGUAAGGUAACGGCUUACCAAGGCAACGAUGCGUAGCCGACCUGAGAGGGUGAUAGGCCACACUGGAACUGAGACACGGUCCAGACUCCUACGGGAGGCAGCAGUAGGGAAUCUUCCGCAAUGGGCGAAAGCCUGACGGAGCAACGCCGCGUGAAUGAUGAAGGUCUUCGGAUCGUAAAACUCUGUUAUUAGGGAAGAACAAAUGUGUAAGUAACUAUGCACGUCUUGACGGUACCUAAUCAGAAAGCCACGGCUAACUACGUG